GCCGGCCCUGCACCAAACCGUUGGGGAUAUACUUUUGAGGGGAACGAUCUUUUUGAGUUUGUUGGCAGUCCAUCUCCAAAUAACCAUGAAUUGGAACAAAGUGACACAAACCUACAAGGACGAGUCCGUAAUCAUCCUCUAUUUUUUGCCAUUGCAAUGGGUCUGCUAGCUGAGAUCAUAAACUCCAGGCUUUUCACAACAGUUAGGGACUCUCUUGGAUUGACAUAUGAUGUUUCAUUUGAACUUAACCUCUUUGACCGGUUGAAGCUUGGAUGGUAUGUCAUCUCAGUGACUUCAACUCCUGGAAAGGUGCACAAAGCUGUUGAUGCUUGCAAGAGUGUCCUAAGAGGUUUGCAUAGCAACAGGAUUGUACCGAGGGAAUUGGACCGGGCAAGACGAACGCUGCUUAUGCGACACGAAGCCGAAAUUAAGUCAAAUGCCUAUUGGCUUGGAUUGUUAUCUCAUUUACAAGCGCCUUCUGUACCUAGGAAGGACAUCUCUUGCAUCAAAGAUCUCACUUUGUUGUAUGAAUCUGCCACCAUUGAAGAUGUAUAUGUUGCCUAUGAGCAAUUGAAGAUAGAUGAGAACUCUCUGUACUCAUGUAUUGGUAUUGCUGGGGCUCAGGCUGGAGAAGAUGUUUCUGCCUUGUUAGAAGUGGAAGAAACUGAUGAGGGCCUUCAAGGUGUUAUUCCCAUGGGACGUGGGUCAUCUACUAUGACACGUCCAACUACAUGAGUCAUUAGUGGAAAAAUCGUUGAUCAGUUAAGGUUGUAGGUUAUCAUACUCGCACAUAACGUUUAUGUGACAAGCUACCAGUGUAUCUUACAUGAUUAUUGACGACAUGCGGCUAAGAGAAGGUUUAGUAAAGAUCUUUCAAGGUCUGAAACCUGCAGAAGUCUCAAAACAAUAAGCAAUUGGAGCAACCUUGUAUGAUGGAUUUCUGAAAGAACUACUCUUCAAGGCCAAGCAAAGAUGAUUUGCAUGUACCAACCUGUUGAAUGAUAAAAGUCUACGCAAUUUUUCUUUAUUUUUUUUCCUGGUCAUCACACAGAUCGAGUAGCAGUAUUCGGUAUCACUGUUAUAUUUGAUGUAUAGAUACUAUAGUUGGGUUUUUUUUUUCUUCUUUUUUACCCCCG
rnacentral:misc_RNA from 1 species